UGGGUAGUCCGCACGAGCGCACCCUGACUUUUAGUUGCCAGCACGUUAUGGUGGGGACUCUAAAAGGACUGCCAGGGUAUAACCUGGAGGAAGGUGGGGAUGACGUCAAGUCCGUAUGUCCCUUAUGUCCAGGGUCUACACACGUGUUACAAUGGCCGGUACAAUGGGUAGCCAACCCGCGAGGGGGAGCCAAUCUCAAAAAACCGGUCUUAGUUCGGAUUGGAGUCUGCAACUCGACUCCAUGCAAGUCGGAAUCGCUAGUAAUCGCGUAACAGCAUGACGCGGUGAAUACGUUCCCGGGCCUUGUACACACCGCCCGUCACGCCAUGGAAGUCGGUAUUACCCGAAGAUGGUGGCCCAACCCUUGGGAGGGAGCCAGCGAAGGUAGGACUGGUGACUGGGGCGAAGUCGUAACAAGGUAGCCGUAUCGGAAGGUGCGGCUGGAACACCUCCUUUCU
rnacentral:rRNA from 1 species